AGCGUUUUAAAUGUUCUUUGGUUGACUUUUGGUUUGUUUUUUUGGUGUCUUUAUCUCCUCUUUCUCUCUCUUUCUUCUUUCUUUUUUGCUUAAAUAAAACUUUUGGUAUUUGUUUAAAUUAUACUGAUUGUGAACAGGAGGUUUUAGAAUAUUUGCUUUGUUUCAGUUUUCUGUUCUAUAAGAUAAAUGUGUAGUUUACCGAGCCAUUGGAUCAUUUCUUCCUCAUGUCUUGGAAGUCCAAUAACUCUAACCUUGAACUGUGAAUAAAUUACCAAAACUUACUGAGAAUUGCAUUUUGAAGCAAUUUGCCAAUAUUUGAAGUAUAUACAUGUUUGUAGAUGUGUUAAAGAUUGUAUUGCACUAAGAAUGUAGUCAGUGUUAGUUGUUAGUAAACUUUUCUGAUGUUAGAAGUUACUUCAUUACUAUUGCUUUUUAAAAGAAGAGAUGAUUGGAUAAAUAUAAUCAGGAGUUUCAUGUCUCCACUCCAACUUGCCAGUUGUUUUUUGAAAGAAUCAUUAGACUAAAACAAAGGAUCUACUUUUUGUGAUGUCAUAUACCUUAACAAGUCUUUUAAAAAUUUUUGUGAGAAUGUGUUGUUUCUAGCGAAUUUCUAGUGUAUACAGUGAUCAGCAACUUUGCAUAAGUAAAUUGAUAGUUGCAAAAGAAGGAUAGUUGCAAAAGAUGGGUGAGUAACAAGACAGCAUGUAUGCUAAAGUUUCUGUAGUAUCUGGCAAUCUGUUAAUUAUAGAACAAAGAUUCCUUUUACAGGAUCCUUUUAUAAACAGCAAGCGAAAAUCUCUAUCCCGAGUGCUUACAGCACUUGCUGUGUUCUGCAGGAGACAGAGUUAUGAGCCAGGGUAGUUUGAAUGAAUAGCUGUGCUGUUUUGCCUUCCCGGAGACUGAGGCCAGUUCCUCAUCUCUGUCUCUGUGUUGCAGCAAAGCCUGGGGCUGCACACAGCGUGGGUCAUUUUUUCCAUGGGUCACAUUUUGGCAUAAAAUCCAGCUUUACUUUUAUUAAGCAGUUAUCUUUAAAUUCUCCUCAGUUGGCUGGAAGUAUUUACUGAGUACUUACUAAAGGCCAAGAAAUAAUUUCCCUAAAUUAGAGGCCUGUUUUUCAUUGGAGUGGCAUUUAAGAAAAAAAUUGUUUUAACUUUUUUGGAUGAGGAGAAGAAGUGAGAGUUAAGUUUCUCUCAUUAAUCUGAAGGUACAUAGGUGUCCUGCAUUUUACAAAAUGAUAUAAGAAAAAUGAUGUUGGAACUUUAUUAGUUUAAACAUCCUGGAGCUAUAAACUAAUCUUGUCAUUAUAUACAGACAGGUUGCCAGGUUACAGGUCAUUUAACCAGCGGAUCCCUUCCCCAGAAGUAUGUGUAUAAUAAGAUAAAUUUAUUAUUCUCUUUUUUUGGUUAGCAUGUGUACAAGAGAUUAUUUGCAAGAUUGAAAGACCACAUUUUUGAACUUCAUACUAACAUGAUUUAUUGCCUCAAAUUCCAAGGUUCACUUGUGUGUUUUCUCAUGUAUUUCUCCUAAUGCUGUCAUGUAGCCAUAUUUUCCUUUUCAUAUUUCAAGAGAUUUUUGAAAAUGAAGUAUGAAUGUACAGUUGAAAAUAUGGAAUAAAAAAUGGAGCUUGUAAACAAUUAGAAAAAUGCUUUUUUGGAUAGAGUUACAGUUCUUUCCUUCCACUCACUUAUGAGUCUACCUCUGUUUGUGUAAGAUUAAAAAGAUUGUUUAUACCUUAUUAGGAUGAAAGCUCUUGGCAUGUUUUUCAUAUGCUUUAUUUUCUGCAGUAUACUGAGUGAUGUAGAAGCAUCCAACAAUUUAAAAACCAGAGCCUAAUGUGUAUUGUGGAACUCAUAGCUCUUGUAUACCCUGGGGGAGUUCAUUUUUGCCUCUAUCACUCAGCUUUAUGUGUUCCAAAAUGGAGGUAAAUAUGGUGAGGUCUUAGAAUUGCUAGAAUAGUCAUGGAGAAUUCUAGAUUCAUUAUACCUAAAGGGCAAAUGACCCUGUGGUUCUUAGCUAAUGCUUUUUUUUUUUUUUUUUUUUAGAUUUUAUUUAUUUGACAGAGAGAUCACAAGUAGGCAGAGAGGCAGGCUGGCAGUGAGAGAGGGGAAAGCAGGCUCCCCACUGAGCAGAGAGCCUGAUGCGGGGCUUGAUCCCAGGACCUUGAGAUCAUGACCUGAGCCACCCAGGCACCCCAGCUAAUACAUUCUUAAUUUGUGAGACUCAGAGGUGGCUGUCCAUUAAUUUUAGGUUGUCCUACAACAUCCCGGCUGUGAAGCUCCCCGCGUACCAGGGCCACUGCAGUUUGUUCCUACCAACAGCCCCUUUCAGGUGACACUCCUGUCCGCAUGUUGUCCUCACUGAUGCCAGUGUGGCGUCCUCCAGACAUGGAUGUUCUGUGGCAAGUUCAAUGUGAGAUGGACUCAUUAGAAAGCCUGGUCUUCAAACAGUGCCUCUAAUGGGUUGGAUCGUACCUGAGAGAGUGAAGGCUGGUAGUUCUCAGGCAAGGGAAAUAGUAAAUACAAGUUUCUGGUAGACGUGAAUGCAGAUAGCCAGUAGAGUUGUUUUGAAAUAUUAAAUAUAUUUGCUUUGACUUUUAUCUCUUGCUUUCCUAAUUUUGUAUUUAUCCUUUGAAUAAAAUGUAAACCGAAUAUUGAAUUACUUUUACUGCUGCUGUGUAGAAACCUAAGAACUGUGGGAAAUCCUUAUAAGAUUUUUAUCUCGUUUUUGUUAUUAACUUGGACCUAUGUGUAGUUACUAAAGUUCAAAGUAUUUCUUUGUUUGAAAGAAACGAAUUAACUUUAAAACUUCCUAAUCUGGGCGCCUGGGUGGCUCAGUGGGUUAAGUGGAUCAUGCCUCCGGCUCAGGUCAUGAUCUCAGGGUCCUGGGAUUGAGCCCCCCCAUUGGGCUCUCUGCUCAGUGGGGAGCCUGCUUCCCCCUCUCUCUCUCUGCUUGUCUCUCCACCUACUUGUGUGUGAUCUCUCUUUCUGCCAAAUAAAUAAAUAAAAGCUUAAAAAAAAAACCAAACAACUUCCUAAUAUGUAGGGGUUUUGUGUUUUUUGUUGUGUUUAUUUUUGUUUUUUGACAUUUGAAGUGAAAUGGCCUCUGAAAGCAGAAUUGACAUUACUGACACAACGUUAAUAACUUCAGUUCUUUGAGUUAUUUUCUCAGCAGAGACAUAUUUGUGUAAAUUUGUUCGUGAAUGCCUGGUUUCAGGAGUGUAGGAGCUCCCCAGAACAGACAAAAGCCAGCUGACUUGUAGACACUUUGUUCUCCUCAACUUGGCCUUCCUGACGGGUGACAUUCUUACGUUAAUGGUCCUCAGUUCCUUUGGGUUCAAUAUACUGAAACUAAGGAAGGGCAGCUCUGAGAGUGUUGACAUCCUAUCAGAAGAUAAUGCUGAUUUUUUAGGUUAUUUUUUAUUUUAUUUUUAAAGAUUUUAUUUUUAAGUAAUCUCUACACCCCAGAUGGAGCUUGAACUCAUGACCCUGAGAUCAGGAGUUGCAUGCUCCACCAACUGAGCCAGCCAGGUGCCCCUAAAGUUAUUUUUAAAAUUCAAUAAUUUAUUUUUUAAAUACUGUCAUGGCUUGGCUUAUGCCCAACUAGGAUGCCUCAAAACUUGGAUCAUUAUUUAAAUGGACAAUCCUUUGCAAAAUGUAACAGUUCUUGUUUUUCCCUUCUUACUUUGUACUGCCCAGUAUCCUGGCUACUCUGGGUCCGUAGAUAUGAGAAGGACAUGUGGACUAAUGGGUUCUGCUUUAAUGAUACACAUAUUUCUCAUUGCCUAAACAGUGCCUUUGCCAGGGGAGUUCCUUAAUAAAAUGCUUGCUGACCUUAAGUUACACUCUAAAUAGCAUUUUUAUUUCUAAUUUUUUCUUUCAGUGCCUUUACUUGCUGAGCUAGAGUUUGAUCAAGAAAUCAUAAAUCACUACCAGCUGGCAUUUCUAGUAAGAAAGGAUUUAACAUGGGGGAACUGGGCUUACACAGCCAUUAGAAGGCCUGGGGACAGGGAGGGAGGGAGGGCCAUGUGCCAGAGCAGGAAUUGCAAGGAGCCACUACUAUCAGGGGUCUGGGUUGCUGUAGCACCGGGUGGGCCACUGCCAGAAGAUGUGUGGAAGCUGCUGGCAAAUCCCACAUUAGCUGCCUGAGGCCCAUUAACCUGUUUGCAGUUUACCACUGGUGAAUACUUAUUUCUACUUCUCUUCUCCAAAUUCUGUACAAGUGCCUCUCACUGGUGAAAUCUAAUUGGAUCUCUGUGGCUAAGUAUCCAGCGGAAGGGAGAUAUUGUACAGUGCAGCUCACCCUUUGGAUUACCCAGCAUCUCUACUCACCCUUGUCUCCGUAUUUAAAUUUCCAAAGAAGAGCAAGAAGAAUACCAUGGUUCUCUUUGGCAUGCUGCAACUAUCCCUCUUGGAAUAAAGAAACACUGUCUUCCCAAGAAAAGAUACAUUUCACAAGUUUCCCCCCAAAAAAUGGGAGAGAGAUUUGAGGCAGAAGAAGCCAUUCGGCAUUUUGACCACAGAGGCAGAUGUGGGAAUGGUACAGCCACCAGAAGCUGAAGAGAUAAGAAAUGUAUUUUUCCCUUAAGUCUCCAAGGGGAGUGUGUUCCUACCAACACCUUGAUUUCAACUCUGUGAUACCAAUUUUGGUCAUCUGGCCUCCAGAACUGAGAGAGAAUAAAUCUCUGCUGUUUUAAAUCACCAUAUUCUUGGUAAAUGAUUACAGCAGCUACAAGGAAAUGGAUUCAGAGAACUUGCACAUCUUUUGUUGUAUUUAUCCCUAGGUACUUGAUAACUUUUGUUCUUACUAUUUUUUUUUAAUUACAAUAUUUUUUUUAAAUAAAAAAAAUUACAUUUUCUAGCUUUUUUUUUUUUUUGAUGGUAUAGAAAAUACAAUGAAAUUCUGUAUGUAGAAUUUGGUUUGCUGUAACUUUGCUAAAUUCACUUAUUUCUAGUGGAUAUUUUCUAUAUGCAAUAUUAUGUUACCUGUGAAUAACUGGGUUUGUUUCUUCCCUACUGAUCCUUACACAUUAAAAAAUUUUUUGCCUUUCUCUGCUGCCCAGGACAUCCAGUAUAAUUUGAAUAGAAAUGGUAAUGGGAACUUCCUUGUUUGUCCUUCUAAUGCCAAAGGAAAAAUUUCAACAUUUUACCAUCAGGUAUUAGAUUUGCUGUAGAUUUUUGUAGACACCCUUUAUCAGGUUAAGGAAGUUUUUUUUUUGUUGUUUGUUUUGUUUUGUUUUUCCUAUUCUUAGUUUACUAAGAGUUUGUUUGUCUUUAGUUGCUAUAUGGCUGCUUGGGUUUUAUCAAAAGCUUCUACUGACAUCACAUUAUUUUCCUCCUUUAAUCUGUUAAUGAAAAGGGUUAUGUUGCCUUCCUAGAAGAAAUUCAGUCUAGCAUUUUUAGGCUUUAAAUUGCUCCCCAAAUUGCUUUAUGUUGUGAUGUGUCAUAUUUGGGUUACUCAAGUGCAAGAUACAUUCUAAUUUCCAUUAUGAGUUCUUUGACUCAGAGGUUACUUAGAUGUGUUUCUUAAUUUUCAAACAUACCAUUCUAGUUACCAUGUUGUUACUGGUAUCUAAUGUGGUCAGAGAACAUGCUCUGAAUUACUUUAAUCUCUUGAGUACUUUCUUUUAGUCUGGUAUAUGGUCAGUUUUUUCCAGGUGUUCUGUGUGUGCUUGAAUUUAGCUAUGGCUGGAAUGGUCUUUGAAUAGGCCCAUUAGGGUCGUUUGUCGGUUGUGUUGGUCAGAUCUUCUCUACCCUGGUUGAUGGUUUGGUUUUGGUGGUGUACUCAGUUCCUGAGAUGGGCGUGUUAACAUCUACGUUGGUGGAAGUCUCUCACCUCUUCUCAUGCAGCCGCUUUAUAGAUUUCUUCUUGCAUACUUGCUUUACGUAUUCCGAUGUUAUAAUGAGAUGAAUGCACAUUGAAAGCUGUUGAUGAAUUGAAAAUGUUUCUUAUGAAAGAACCCUCUUUAUUCUUUAGUUAUAAACUUUUGCUUUAAAAUUCAGCUUGUUGGGUCGCCCGGGUGGCUCUGUUGGUUGAGUGACCGACUCUUGGUUUCAGCUGAGGUGGUGAUCUCAGGGUCAUGAAAUGGAGCCCCGCCCGCAUCAGGCUCUGCACGUCUCAGGGAGUCUGCUUGGGGACUCUCUCUUCCUCUCCCUCUCCCUUUGCUCCUUUCCUCCCCUCUGCUCUCUCUCUAAAAUAAAUAAAUAAAUCUUUUAAAAAAUGAAAUAAAGUCCAGCUUGUCACCUAGUAAUUUAGUCACACCAACUUUCUUCUGGUUAAUAUUUGCAUGAUACAUAUUUUUCAUCUUUUGAUUUUCAACCUUUAUGUAACCUUAUGUUUUAGAUUUAAACUUUUAUGAACAGCAUAUUAUUGGAGUUUUAAAAAUCCACUUUGAAAUGUUUGUCUUUUCAAUAGUGCAUUUAGUUAAUUUACAUUUAGAAACAUACCACUCAGGUGCCCCAGCUGUUUUUCUCUUUAUAUUUAUGGGCCAACCCACUUAAGUCUACUGUUUGGACCGUGGUAUGGGAAGGAGCACAGUGUGCCCUGCAGAUAGGACUCUGAGUGAAAUAAGAAGAGGAAAAGUAUCUUGCCUACUGUGGUAUUAUGGUUUAUAACACGACACAUAUAUUUGAUUGUUCUUCCAGUUUCUGGCAUAGAGCUCCUAAAAUUCUUGGAAUUUCCUAAGUGAUAAGUGUCCUAAAAGUGUCGUUUCUUAUGUUCUUGAGGUAACUUUUGGAAAGCCCCCUGGUCACCUAAGGAUAGGUAGGGGCUGGUUGCCAGGGGAAACGACCAUGUGCUUAGACGGUUGGAACUUUCAGUUCCAUGCCUUGAUUUCUGGGAGGGGAGAGGGGCUGCAGGCUGAGCCAGUCACAGUGACUAAUGAAUUAUCCGUGCCUUUGUGAUGAAGCCUCCAUAAAAACACAAAAGGAUGGGGCUCGGAGACCAUCCGGGUUGGCACACGCAGGGAGGUGCUGGGAGGGUGGCGUGCCUGGAGAGGGCAGGGAAGCUGCGGGUCCCUUCCUACAUACUUGCCCCGUGGACAGAUCGCUUUAGCUGCCUGUUGAUUCAUAUCCUUUAAUAUCAUUUGUCAUAAACUGGCUCUCUAGUGAGUACAUGGGUUUCCUGGAUUCUUUGAGCUGGUCCAGCAAAUUAAUUCAACCCACGGAGGAGGUUGCAGGAACCUCCGAUUCCAGUCGGUCAGAAGUGCAGGUGACAGCCUGGGCUUGCAGCUGUUACGUGAAGUGGGGUCAGUCUUGUGGGACUGAGCGUCUUUCCAUGUGGAAUCUGAUGCUGUCUCUGGGUAGACAGCACUGGAAAUGAGUUAAGUGCAGUGCACUUGGGUGGCUCAGUUGGUUGAGGGUCUGCCUUUGGCUCAGGUCAUGAUCCUGGAGUCCUGGGAUGGAGCCCUUGUUAGGCUUCUUGCUCAGCAGGAGAGUCUGCUUCUCCCUCUGACCCUCCCCUAUCUCAUGCUCUCUCUCUGUCUCUCAAAUUAAUAAGUAAAAUCUUUUUUUUUUAAUGAGUUAAUUGUUUGGUGGUGUGGGGAAUGCCCCCAUCCUUCCAAACACAUUGGAAUUGGUAUCAAAUCAUUAAUGUAGUUCAAGUAUUUAGUACACUUUGAAGAAAGCAAUGAUGCAAAAGGCCGGAUUUAUGUAGAAAGUUAUUCAGCUUCUCUUCCUGCUCCUCAGUUGGUGCUAGAACUAAGCAGAGGCAUCAUUUUCUUGGUGUGAUGCCUGGAUUGAAACACACCAGGGGAGGCCAAUUUUGCUAUUCUCUAAAAGUCAUUUUUGGCUCCCACCUACCCUGGGUUGAGUUGGAAAUGUGUAAAUUGAAGCCCAAGUUGAGAAUGAACUGGAGCCUUGAAGCUCUUAAACACUUAUUACUUGAGAGAAUGUGUAUGAAAGGACUUUUAAUCCUGUAAUAUGUGUAACACAUGUAAUAUAUGUAGCAUAUGGAAGGUAGAACUGACCAGAAAUGUGAAUGGGAAGUAGGAAGAAAGCACUGCAUAUUCUAUAUUAAGAACUUUAAAAAGUAAGUAAAAACUGUAACAAGCCAAGUUAAAAAUAAGAAAGAAACCCAAAAUUUGACCAACUUUAGUUAUAACUUUAACUCGAUUUAUUGCAAAAUCACUGUAUCUCUGCAGGUCUGGUUUCCCUGGUAUCUCGAGGAGAACAUUUUGGGUCAAAGCCACAUUUGAUGCUCAGCCAUGAGUCUCACGCUUAAAAGUUAAUAAAGUUCUUGAUUCCA